rnacentral:lncRNA from 1 species
CAGGGGUCACUCCAGUUAAACUGGGCCGACUGGGCUGCGCAAAAUAACCCCACCAGAGACACAAAUACCUUUUUCUUUGGGGUCGCUGUGACAGCUCCUCUGACCUUAAGGGUCUGCAGAAAGAGAGAGCGAGAGCAUGCGGCUGACCCCUUUUAUUGAGGAGAAGUUAUUUAAAUGAGGCAAGGUCAGGUUUCAGGGGGCUGAGUCUAUCUUCAUGAUGUCCACUGUCAGCAGGUUGACUGACACCUGGGUAGGCCACACCCAAGGGCACAGUAAGAGAAGGGGACACACACAAGGCACUUCCAUGCAGGAUUCUCUCCUAAACAGGGCAAGGGGUUAGAUUACAAGGGAACAGGUGAGCAUAGCUUCACCCGUGGGGCUGUAGCAGGACACACCCAGGCACAAGACACCGACCCUCGCCCAUGUGAGGGGAAAGCUCUGCCACAUUUCUGUGACUGAGCGUCUCAGCACCCAGCCCGGGAGUGUGACUCAGUCACGUGUGAGGUUGGUCUCCCACAGAGGGGGGUUGAUGUUUGGGGUGACAUUGAAUCAGGAUGAGGGCCCUGGGUGGGCUUUUUGUACUGUGGACCCCUCUGCCUGCCCUCUGCCCUUGCAGAGAGCUGUUCCCCCUUCUGGACCCCACCUUCUGGACUCUGCCUUCCUUCCUGGAUAUACCAAGUGUGACCUCUGUCCUGUUCUCACCUCAGGGCUGACUGGAGGCUUGGCCCAGCCUGCUACUGUGGUCACCCCUCCAGGGGCCUUCUCUGACCUCUGCCAGGAUCUGAGGGUCUCUCUCCUUAGGGGGGCCUCCAGCACCCGCCACCUGAAACUCCAGGGGUCCUUUCCCCCAGUAGUAGAUCUCAUGCCAGCCCCAGAAGGCACUGGGGAGAGCUGAGGGGCAAACUAGCUGGCAGGCACAGUGGGGGAUCCCAGCAAGUUUGCCAAGGCAUGAGAAUCCCCCCACCCCCGCCGCAGCACACCGUGGAGAAGGUGGGGGCACCUGGCCCCGCAGGGAGGUGGCUCCAUGCUCAGUUCUGCCUAUAGGACUUAGGGAGGGGUUCCGGGAGGACGGAGGGGGCUUCCUUGGUGUGCAGUCAUCUCCCCAUCCCUCUGGCCGCGCGUAGUCCUCGCCGUCCUGGGAACGCAUCCCCACCCCUCCGCGGCGAGGCUCAGACAAAGGCGGCUCCCUCCCCCGCGGCUGUGGUCCCCACUGCCCGGGCUCGGCUCCGCCUCCGCCUCCACGGUCUUCAGCUGAAGCUCUUUUACUCCGCCCCAGAGAGGCGCUGCUAGGAUCCCAGUUGGGGCAGGGCGGGCCAGGAGGCUCCAGAACUGACACCGGCUCUUCUUCAGGUGCCGGGGGGCUCGGUUUGGCCCAGGGCACGCUGAGGCUUCCUUCUACUUGGGGCGCCCCACAGUGCGGAUCUGGGGCCGAUAUGCGUGUUUGGCUUGUUACUGCGUGCACUUGUUUUCACUGGUUCCAUUUAUUUAUUUUUGGUACGGGAUUUGAAUCCAGAGGCACUUACACACUGAGCUACAUCCCCACCGCUUUUUAUUUUUGAGACAGGGUCUCACUAAGUUGCAUAGGGCCUUGCUAAAUUGCUGAGGCUGGCGUCGAACUUGGGAUCUUCCUGUCAGCCUCCCAAACUGCUGGGAUUGCAGGGGUGAGCCACCGCGACCAGCGCCAA